GAUUAACGCUGGCGGCGUGCCUAACACAUGCAAGUCGAACGAGGUAGCAAUACCUAGUGGCAGACGGGUGAGUAACACGUGGUCAACCUUCCCUUUAGUGGGGGAUAACUAGCCGAAAGGUUAGCUAAUACCGCAUACGAUCUAUGAGUGGCAUCAUUUAUAGAUGAAAGGAGCAAUCCGCUUAAGGAUGGGACCGCGUCCCAUUAGCUAGAUGGUGGGGUAAUGGCCUACCAUGGCUCCGAUGGGUAGCUGGUUUGAGAGAGCGACCAGCCACACU
rnacentral:rRNA from 1 species